UACGUAGGGUGCGAGCGUUGUCCGGAAUUAUUGGGCGUAAAGGGCUCGUAGGCGGUUUGUCGCGUCGGGAGUGAAAUCCACUGGCUUAACUGGUGGCUUGCUUUCGAUACGGGCAGACUGGAGGUAUGCAGGGGGAGAACGGAAUUCCUGGUGUAGCGGUGAAAUGCGCAGAUAUCAGGAGGAACACCUAUAGCGAAGGCAGCUCGCUGGGACGACACUGACGCUGAGACGCGAAAGCGUGGGGAGCGAACAGG
rnacentral:rRNA from 1 species